GAUGAACGCUGGCGGCGUGCCUAAUACAUGCAAGUCGAGCGAACGGAUGAGAAGCUUGCUUCUCUGAUGUUAGCGGCGGACGGGUGAGUAACACGUGGAUAACCUACCUAUAAGACUGGGAUAACUUCGGGAAACCGGAGCUAAUACCGGAUAAUAUUUUGAACCGCAUGGUUCAAAAGUGAAAGACGGUCUUGCUGUCACUUAUAGAUGGAUCCGCGCUGCAUUAGCUAGUUGGUAAGGUAACGGCUUACCAAGGCAACGAUGCAUAGCCGACCUGAGAGGGUGAUCGGCCACACUGGAACUGAGACACGGUCCAGACUCCUACGGGAGGCAGCAGUAGGGAAUCUUCCGCAAUGGGCGAAAGCCUGACGGAGCAACGCCGCGUGAGUGAUGAAGGUCUUCGGAUCGUAAAACUCUGUUAUUAGGGAAGAACAUAUGUGUAAGUAACUGUGCUCAUCUUGACGGUACCUAAUCAGAAAGCCACGGCUAACUACGUG
rnacentral:rRNA from 1 species